AUCACACUGUUCAAGGGAAGCCCGGUCACUCUGCCCUGCUACGGUGUCAUCCCCAAGACCCAGCCCACAUGCCAGAUCUACAUCCAAUGGCUGAAGGACAAUGUGGAGAUCAUGACCCUUAACCCUGCGCCCAGACGACAAGGGACCUAAGGAAGAAGACCUCCGUCUCUCUCUCCCACCUAACAAUCUGCUGGAGAAUGGUGACCUGUCCUUGUUUAUCUACAAGACGGAGCUCAAAGACCAGGGAGUCUAUCGCUGCUUCUACAAGUCCAGGGGCUUCGAGGACCCUAAGAGUGGGAUACCAGAAGGAACAGAGAAUGUCACCAGUAGCUCAGACUUCAGUGGGACUAGCGGUGACAGUGAGACCCCAAUAACAUUCUUUACUUUGGUGACCCAAGAUAAGGAGGAUAUGCAAGGUGGUGGUAAAUGGUCAAGACUUCCAGCCUCUAUGCAUUUGUUCUCUGCGAUGCUAGAUCAACCACUCAUCUGAGCUGCCAGUGAGAAGUCAGAUCGUUUGAUGAUUGUCUGCACUGCCUCGUCCACUGAAUGCUUUGGAGGUUGUGUACUGGAAUGUGGGAUUGGA